GGGGAUGUAGCUCAGUUGGCUAGAGCACCUGCUUUGCAAGCAGGGGGUCGUGGGUUCGAGUCCCAUCAUCUCCA
rnacentral:tRNA from 1 species